UUCUUGGUGCCAUGCAGCUCUUGCUGUGGAUUGGGGGAGGGGCAGCGUUGAUGAUUCAAGACUGUCUUUCCUACCCUUUUCAGCGCUUUUUCAGUGAUCUGAAAUUAAAAGCAGGUAUUAGGAUUGCUCAUAUGAUUUUUAGCUCUUAUGAAGGUGCUUUUUUGUGUGGAAAUUUGUUCAGGUUGGUGUUCCUGCAGAAAGAACAGUUGGUGGAGGCUUCUAUUUGGCCAUCUUGCUCCAUCUUUCCCACAAAAAAUCAUUUUAAAAUUAAAAAUAAUGAACUCAGAUAUGAGUUUAAUUAGUACUCCAGGUGUUUCUAAAACUGUACUUCACUUACAGAGCCCAUUUUGAAUGGAUGCUUUUAUUCUAGGGAUCCUGAAGGCAAAGGUGAACAUCAAACCUUGGUUUCUUCCAGUAAAAAACAUUUGGGGACCAUGGCAAUAUAGGACCAUUAAGCAGAGAAAUGGAAUUGUGGACCAGGUAGAAAGAUGAGGGCGUGGAAAUGAUUUUGACACAUUGAGAGAUGCUAGGUAGUCAGGAGCACUGACUCCACAAGGCAUGUCAGGCUCUGGCAAUUGUUUGGUUGUCCCAUUUGGAAAGAAACUUAAUCAUUGUAAUACAUAGAUGUUAAACUGCUUAUCUAGAGAGAUGAGGCCAAGAAUGAAGGAGAAAGAUGCUGAUUAACAGGCAGAAGAAUGCCAAAGUGAAAUGGCUAUUUCGCUUUUCAAGGACCACCUUUACCUUCAAGACAACAUCCUACAAGUAAAUACAUAAAUUCGCCGAUGUUUCUGGGUUUUCAGCCCUUUAACUGUAAUAUUAUUUUUAACAGAAUGCUCACCUAGUCAUUUCAAGUGCCACUCAGGACGGUGUGUUCUGGCUUCCAGAAGAUGUGAUGGCCAGGCCGACUGUGACGAUGACAGUGAUGAGGAAAACUGUGACAAAAUGUCACAAGCAAUCAACUGAAAUCCUGUCAGCUCCUAUAAAUAUGGACAAGUGCAUCUUCUGGAAAACUCCAGCUGUCAGAAUGAUGGUACAAUGGCUGGGUAAUUUUGUUGUGGAGGAAUGUACAGUGUUUUGAGAAGCUACUAUUGUUUGCUUGUUUGUGGUUUUUUUUUUUAAGAAAUAAAUCAAAACUCAUUGAAUA